AUUUGGUCUCAAAUCAAGCAAGAAAACCCGCUGAACUUAAGCAUAUCAAUAAGCGGAGGAAAAGAAACCAACAGGGAUUCCCCUAGUAACGGCGAGUGAAGCGGGAAGAGCUCAAAUUUGAAAUCUCACUGGUUUCCAGUGCGAAUUGUAGUUUCAAGAAGCGUUUUCGGGGACGACUUGGGUCCAAGUCUGUUGGAACGCAGCGCCAGAGAGGGUGAGAGCCCCGUUCGGCCCGAUGUUCGUUCCUGUAUGAUACGUUUUCAAAGAGUCGCAUAGUUUGGGAAUGCUGUGCAAAGUGGGUGGUAAAUAUCAUCUAAAGCUAAAUAUUGGCGAGAGACCGAUAGCGAACAAGUACCGUGAGGGAAAGAUGAAAAGAACUUUGAAAAGAGAGUUAAAUAGUACGUGAAAUUGUCAAAAGGGAAACGCUUGGAACCAGUAUUGGGCCUAGAUUAUCAGCCGCAAGGUGCACUAGUCUAGGUCCGGGUCAGCAUCAGUUUGGUUUGGAGUAAAAAACCAGUGGAAGGUAGCUUCGGUGUUAUAGCCGCUGGUCAUGCUCUGGACUGGACUGAGGUCUGCAGCCGCCUGGGGGAAUAUGCCGCCUCGAAACACGCA
rnacentral:rRNA from 1 species